rnacentral:rRNA from 1 species
CACACUGUAAACGAUGAAUGCUAGGUGUAGGAGGUAUCGACCCCUUCUGUGCCGCAGUAAACACAGUAAGCAUUCCGCCUGGGGAGUACGGUCGCAAGAUUAAAACUCAAAGGAAUUGACGGGGGCCCGCACAAGCAGCGGAGCAUGUGGUUUAAUUCGAAGCAACGCGAAGAACCUUACCAGGUCUUGACAUCCAGUAAAGGCCGUAGAGAUACGGAAUCCCUUCGGGGGUACUGAGACAGGUGG